UUUCGCAUUGAGUUAGUGUCAGGGACAACUCUAAUUUCGAUAGCUCCGUACAAAAUGGCAUCGAUAAAAUUAAAAGUGUUGAAAGCCCAGUUGCAAGAAUUGACAGACAGAGAUUUCACAUGACUGAGUUUUUCUCCCUAGGGUGCACGGGUUUUGUUUGUGAAAAAGAAAGACGAAACCAUGAGAAUGUGCAUCGAUUAUUGACAGCUCAAUAAAGUGACCAUAAAGAAUAAAUAUCCUCAGCCAUGAAUUGACGAUUUGUUCGAUCAGUUGAAAGGGGCUACAGUGUUUUCAAAAAUUGACUUGUGAUCGGGUUACUAUCAGCUGUGGGUAACAGACACCGAUGUGCUAGAAAUUGCUUACUGAACAAGUUUUUUCAAGCUAACUCGGGGAUCAUAAAGUACGUCAGAGGUCCAGGCACACUAUCACAAGGAUUAUUUUUGGUAUAGCUGGAUGUUUCAUUUUGAGUAUGGCAUGUAUAGCAUCGUAGCCAUUUUGUAUGUAUGAUCUUAUGAUAUGACUAAUGAAUGGUAUGUAAAUGCUUGAUAAUGAUUAGCUAUUGGAAUGGCUAAUCAAGGACAUGUUCGGUGUUAUGUAUGUCUAAAUGCUAGUUAUUCCAUGGAAAUCAUGAAAAGGGUGAAA